rnacentral:rRNA from 1 species
GAUGAACGCUGGCGGCGUGCCUAAUACAUGCAAGUCGAGCGAACAGACGAGGAGCUUGCUCCUCUGACGUUAGCGGCGGACGGGUGAGUAACACGUGGAUAACCUACCUAUAAGACUGGGAUAACUUCGGGAAACCGGAGCUAACACCGGAUAAUCUACUUAACCGCAUGGUUCAAUAGUCAAAGACGGUUUUGCUGUCACUUAUAGAUGGAUCCGCGCCGCAUUAGCUAGUUGGUAAUGUACCAGCUUACCACGGCAACGACGCGUAGCCGACCGGAGCGGGUGAUCGGCCACACUGGAAGGGAGCCACGGUCGAGAGUCCUACGGGAGGCAGCAGUAGGGAAGCUGCGGCAAUGGGCGAAAGCCUGACGGAGCAACGGCGCGUGAGUGAUAGAGGUCUUCGGAUCGUAAAGCUCUGUUAUUAGGGAAGAACAAAUGUGUAAGGAAAUAUGCACGUCGUGACGGUACCUAAUCAGAAAGCCACGGCUAACUACGUG